rnacentral:rRNA from 1 species
UACGUAGGGGGCAAGCGUUGUCCGGAUUUAUUGGGCGUAAAGAGCGUGUAGGCGGCUGGGUAGGUCCGUUGUGAAAACUCGAGCUCAACCUCGAGACGCCGAUGGAAACCCCCCAGCUAGAGUCCGGAAGAGGAGAGUGGAAUUCCUGGUGUAGCGGUGAAAUGCGUAGAUAUCUGGAGGAACACCGGUGGCGAAGGCGGCAUCCUGGGACCGGUAUUGACGCUGAGGCGCGAAAGCUAGGGGAGCAAACGGG